rnacentral:rRNA from 1 species
UCUUGGUCAUUUAGAGGAAGUAAAAGUCGUAACAAGGUCUCCGUUGGUGAACCAGCGGAGGGAUCAUUACCGAGUUUACAACUCCCAAACCCCUGUGAACAUACCUAUUUGUUGCCUCGGCGGUGCCUGUUCCGACAGCCCGCCAGAGGACCCCAAACCCUGAUUACAUUUAAGAAGUCUUCUGAGUAAACCGAUUAAAUAAAUCAAAACUUUCAACAACGGAUCUCUUGGUUCUGGCAUCGAUGAAGAACGCAGCGAAAUGCGAUAAGUAAUGUGAAUUGCAGAAUUCAGUGAAUCAUCGAAUCUUUGAACGCACAUUGCGCCCGCUAGUAUUCUGGCGGGCAUGCCUGUCCGAGCGUCAUUUCAACCCUCAAGCCCCCGGGCUUGGUGUUGGGGAUCGGCGAGCCUCCGCGCCCGCCGUCCCCUAAAUCUAGUGGCGGUCUCGCUGUAGCUUCCUCUGCGUAGUAGCACACCUCGCACUGGGAAACAGCGCGGCCACGCCGUUAAACCCCCAACUUCUGAACGUUUGACCUCGGAUCAGGUAGGAAUACCCGCUGAACUUAAGCAUAUCAAUAAGCGGAGGAA